rnacentral:lncRNA from 1 species
CCCGGGCAGAGGAGGCUGCCUUCACCGAGUCAUCCCCUUCUUUCUCAGUCUUGCCUAGCACCUCGAGGAAGGAAGAAACCACCUUCACCCUGAGUCUCAAGGUGAAGCUUCCACCAUUCCGGCACCCAGGAGCAGGCAGAGCCCCAGACUCUGGAAGGAGCUCUGCCACCCCGGGCUUUCCAGAAGACCUUUGGAGAUGAUCUCGCCCGCAUCAUCUUUCCCGUCUCAGGUGCCCUCAUCUCGGAGACGCUGUGGAGAGUACAGAGCAACCCAGUGUUCCCACAGCCUGUGGAAGAGGUUUCACAUCAAGGAAGCAGGCAGCAGGAGCCCCCAGCAUGCCGCGCCUGGCCGAGCAGCCAGGGGAACCCCAAGCCCACACCUCACGCUCCAAUGGCAACAACAAACGCAACUCCCGGAGGAACCAGCACAAAGCUCAGCAUCUGGGCUCCUCAGCCAAGCUCCGGAAGUGACUGUGAACACGUGCUCCCCCGAGACCCCAGGGCCUGCCCUCCUGCCUGCAACUGUGCCCCUAACAACAGAAACAAAACCCGUACAAGCCGCCGUGCCGGGCUCACAGAGAGAAGUCAACAAAUGUCUGCUGGAAGAAUAAGAGAAUGAAUGAACAAUGUUGUUCCUCUUGGAUUUCCCAGCUGGCUGGACUCCUGGGCAGGUCUUUGAAUUCGCCCUGCAGACCCCGUUGUGUUGCUUCCCUUGGCUCUUCAGAACAAAAGAGUAUACAAAAGUGCUUAUCCUUUUUGAUAGAAAUGGGUUGGAACAGUAUGGUUUUCACUUUGACUGGGGAGGCCUAGAAUGGUUUGCAAUCGAUUGUUUGUUUCACUAAUGGAG